GUUCAGAGGUGUGAUGCACUCACUGUUGACUCUAAAUGAUCAUACAGAGAAGAUCUCAAUACAAACAUUUUUAAAAACACUGAAUUAUUGUUCUCAAGAGAAUCUUGAGACCAUGAACAUUUAAACCUCCCUGGAUCAAAUUCACCAUCCUGCUAUGAUCUGAUCAGACCUCUGUGGACUUCCUUCCAGUAAUCCUUCAAGCAUCACUGAACAGCUGCACUGCCUGCCCGCCUGCAGCCUCCUACUCCUCACCAGGAGCAAUGAGUCAUCCAGCAGAGCUCAGAUCGGCUUUUAAUUACGUGACCUUGUGUGAAAAGACAUUGCAAUCGUACACACUGGAUCACUGGGGAUAUCAGCUGCACAAACACUCAACUUUUCCUAACCCACGCAUGGAUCUGAGGAUUCCACAACUAUAUUCAUGUGUAUUACCACAUGCAUGCACACACUUAUAGGCUGCGUGAAUGAUCAGAUGGUGAUCAGUUUUAGUGUUGAAACAGCCUGCAUGUGUUUGUUUUAAUUAUUUUACCCUGAGCCCUCCGACAGACUCCAAGCAUUUAGUCAAAAAUAAUUUGAAUCACACUUUAAUAGACUAAUAAAUCACUUUAACUGUAAUUGUUAUAAAGCAACUUUGUGAAUGCAUUUCUUUUUGCUGUCUUUUCUUACUUGCAAAUCAUUUCCGUAUAAUACAGUUGUAGUAAUACUGUCACACCCUUAGAGCACAUUUAAAGUCAACAAUGUGGAACAUGUGCUAUUAUAGAAAGCAAUACAAUAAAAUGAAUGUGUUCCUGUGUAUUCUUAUAGUAAAAUGUUGCACACAU